rnacentral:rRNA from 1 species
CCCUUAGAUGUUCUGGGCUGCACGCGCGCUACACUGAUGCGAUCAACAAGUUUUUCCUAUGUCGAUAGACACGGGUAAUCUUUUGAACUCGCAUCGUGAUGGGGAUAGAUUAUUGUAAUUAUUAAUCUUCAACGAGGAAUGCCUAGUAAGCGUGAUUCAUCAAAUCGCGUUGAUUACGUCCCUGCCCUUUGUACACACCGCCCGUCGCUCCUACCGAUUGAAUGUGUUGGUGAGGAGCUCGGAUUGGCAGCAGUUGGUGGUUCGCCACCGGCUAUUGCUGAGAAGUCCUCCAAACCGCCCCAUUUAGAGGAAGGAGAAGUCGUAACA